rnacentral:rRNA from 1 species
GGGUUGUGAGGUUAAGCGACUAAGCGUACACGGUGGAUGCCCUGGCAGUCAGAGGCGAUGAAGGACGUGCUAAUCUGCGAAAAGCGUCGGUAAGGUGAUAUGAACCGUUACAGCCGGCGAUGUCCGAAUGGGGAAACCCAGUGCAAUUCGUUGCACUAUCGUUAACUGAAUACAUAGGUUAACGAAGCGAACCGGGGGAACUGAAACAUCUAAGUACCCCGAGGAAAAGAAAUCAACCGAGAUUCCCCCAGUAGCGGCGAGCGAACGGGGAGCAGCCCAGAGUCUGAAUCAGCUUGUGUGUUAGUGGAACGGUCUGGAAAGUCCGACGGUACAGGGUGAUAGUCCCGUACACCAAAAUGCACAGGCUGUGAACUCGAAGAGUAGGGCGGGACACGUGGUAUCCUGUCUGAAUAUGGGGGGACCAUCCUCCAAGGCUAAAUACUCCUGACUGACCGAUAGUGAACCAGUACCGUGAGGGAAAGGCGAAAAGAACCCCGGCGAGGGGAGUGAAAAAGAACCUGAAACCGUGUACGUACAAGCAGUGGGAGCACCUUCGGGUGUGACUGCGUACCUUUUGUAUAAUGGGUCAGCGACUUAUAUUCUGUAGCAAGGUUAACCGUAUAGGGGAGCCGCAGGGAAACCGAGUCUUAACUGGGCGUUAAGUUGCAGGGUAUAGACCCGAAACCCGGUGAUCUAGCCAUGGGCAGGUUGAAGGUUGGGUAACACUAACUGGAGGACCGAACCGACUAAUGUUGAAAAAUUAGCGGAUGACUUGUGGCUGGGGGUGAAAGGCCAAUCAAACCGGGAGAUAGCUGGUUCUCCCCGAAAGCUAUUUAGGUAGCGCCUCGUGAAUUCAUCUUCGGGGGUAGAGCACUGUUUCGGCUAGGGGGUCAUCCCGACUUACCAACCCGAUGCAAACUACGAAUACCGAAGAAUGUUAUCACGGGAGACACACGGCGGGUGCUAACGUCCGUCGUGAAGAGGGAAACAACCCAGACCGCCAGCUAAGGUCCCAAAGUCAUGGUUAAGUGGGAAACGAUGUGGGAAGGCACAGACAGCCAGGAUGUUGGCUUAGAAGCAGCCAUCAUUUAAAGAAAGCGUAAUAGCUCACUGGUCGAGUCGGCCUGCGCGGAAGAUGUAACGGGGCUAAACCAUGCACCGAAGCUGCGGCAGCGACACUAUGUGUUGUUGGGUAGGGGAGCGUUCUGUAAGCCUGCGAAGGUGUGCUGUGAGGCAUGCUGGAGGUAUCAGAAGUGCGAAUGCUGACAUAAGUAACGAUAAAGCGGGUGAAAAGCCCGCUCGCCGGAAGACCAAGGGUUCCUGUCCAACGUUAAUCGGGGCAGGGUGAGUCGACCCCUAAGGCGAGGCCGAAAGGCGUAGUCGAUGGGAAACAGGUUAAUAUUCCUGUACUUGGUGUUACUGCGAAGGGGGGACGGAGAAGGCUAUGUUAGCCGGGCGACGGUUGUCCCGGUUUAAGCAUGUAGGCUGGUUGUCCAGGCAAAUCCGGAUAAUCAAGGCUGAGGUGUGAUGACGAGGCACUACGGUGCUGAAGUAACAAAUGCCCUGCUUCCAGGAAAAGCCUCUAAGCAUCAGGUAACAUCAAAUCGUACCCCAAACCGACACAGGUGGUCAGGUAGAGAAUACCAAGGCGCUUGAGAGAACUCGGGUGAAGGAACUAGGCAAAAUGGUGCCGUAACUUCGGGAGAAGGCACGCUGGUGUGUAGGUGAAGCCCCUGCGGGUGGAGCUGAGACCAGUCGAAGAUACCAGCUGGCUGCAACUGUUUAUUAAAAACACAGCACUGUGCAAACACGAAAGUGGACGUAUACGGUGUGACGCCUGCCCGGUGCCGGAAGGUUAAUUGAUGGGGUUAUCCGUAAGGAGAAGCUCUUGAUCGAAGCCCCGGUAAACGGCGGCCGUAACUAUAACGGUCCUAAGGUAGCGAAAUUCCUUGUCGGGUAAGUUCCGACCUGCACGAAUGGCGUAAUGAUGGCCAGGCUGUCUCCACCCGAGACUCAGUGAAAUUGAACUCGCUGUGAAGAUGCAGUGUACCCGCGGCAAGACGGAAAGACCCCGUGAACCUUUACUAUAGCUUGACACUGAACAUUGAGCCUUGAUGUGUAGGAUAGGUGGGAGGCUUUGAAGCGUGGACGCCAGUCUGCGUGGAGCCAACCUUGAAAUACCACCCUUUAAUGUUUGAUGUUCUAACGUUGGCCCCUGACCGGGGUUGCGGACAGUGUCUGGUGGGUAGUUUGACUGGGGCGGUCUCCUCCCAAAGCGUAACGGAGGAGCACGAAGGUUAGCUAAUCCUGGUCGGACAUCAGGAGGUUAGUGCAAUGGCAUAAGCUAGCUUGACUGCGAGCGUGACGGCGCGAGCAGGUGCGAAAGCAGGUCAUAGUGAUCCGGUGGUUCUGAAUGGAAGGGCCAUCGCUCAACGGAUAAAAGGUACUCCGGGGAUAACAGGCUGAUACCGCCCAAGAGUUCAUAUCGACGGCGGUGUUUGGCACCUCGAUGUCGGCUCAUCACAUCCUGGGGCUGAAGUAGGUCCCAAGGGUAUGGCUGUUCGCCAUUUAAAGUGGUACGCGAGCUGGGUUUAGAACGUCGUGAGACAGUUCGGUCCCUAUCUGCCGUGGGCGCUGGAGAAUUGAGGGGGGCUGCUCCUAGUACGAGAGGACCGGAGUGGACGCAUCACUGGUGUUCGGGUUGUCAUGCCAAUGGCACUGCCCGGUAGCUAAAUGCGGAAGAGAUAAGUGCUGAAAGCAUCUAAGCACGAAACUUGCCCCGAGAUGAGUUCUCCCUGAGACUUUAAGUCUCCUGAAGGAACGUUGAAGACGACGACGUUGAUAGGCCGGGUGUGUAAGCGCAGCGAUGCGUUGAGCUAACCGGUACUAAUGAACCGUGAGGCUUAACCUUACAACGCCGAAG